CCUACGGGAGGCAGCAGUGAGGAAUAUUGGUCAAUGGGCGUAAGCCUGAACCAGCCAAGUCGCGUGAGGGAUGAAGGUCCUCUGGACCGUAAACCUCUUUUAUAAGGGAGUAAAGUGCGGGACGUGUCCCGUUUUGUAUGUACCUUAUGAAUAAGGAUCGGCUAACUCCGUGCCAGCAGCCGCGGUAAUACGGAGGUUCCGAGCGUUAUCCGGAUUUAUUGGGUUUAAGGGGUGCGUAGGCGGGCUGUUAAGUCAGCGGUGAAAGUCUGUGGCUCAACCAUGGAAUUGCCGUUGAAACUGGGAGGCUUGAGUGCGUUAGAGGCAGGCGGAAUGCGUGGUGUAGCGGUGAAAUGCGUAGAUAUCACGCGGAACCCCGAUGGCGAAGGCGGCCUGC
rnacentral:rRNA from 1 species